CUCUCUCCCUGUAUAAUCUGUUGUCUCUCUCCCUGUAUAAUCUGUUGUCUCUCUCCCUGUAAAUCUGUUGUCUCUCUCCCUUAAUCUGUGGUCUCUCUUUUUGUAUAAUCUGGUGUCUCUCUCCCUGUAUAAUCUGUUGUCUCUCUCCCUGUAUAAUCUGUUCUCUCUCUCCCUGAUAUCUGCUUCUCUCUCUCCUGUAUAAUCUGGGUCUCUCUCUCCUGUAUAAUCUGGUGUCUCUCUCCUGUAUAUCGUUUUCUCUCUCUCCCUGAUAAUCUGUGUCUCUCUCCCUGUAUAAUCUGGUGUCUCUCUCCCUGUUAAUCUGUUGUCUCUCUUCCUGAAUAUAUACUAAACAACUGUGUCCUCAUGAUGACGCACUGGAAACCUCUGUUCGCGAGAAAUGUUUGUUUUUUUUGUAAUAAAAAAACUCAAAUGUUGUGCUGUUUCUAUCACGCAGGAGUUUCCAGGUUGGAGGUGGGGAGGAGGGGGAGGACUGUUUCUAUCACUGUGGAGUGUUCCAGGCUGGAGGGGGAGGGAGGAGGGGGAGACUGUUUCUAUCACUGUAGAGUGUUCCAGGCUAGGAGGGAGGGGGGAGGAGGGGGGAGACUGUUUCUAUCACUGCAGGAGUGUUCCAGGCUGGAGGGGGAGGGAGGAGGUGGAGACUGUUUCUAUCACUGCAGGAGUGUUCCAGGUUGGAGGGGGGGGGAGGGAGGGUGAGACUGUUUCUAUCACUGCAGGAGUGUUCCAGGCUGGAGGGAGGGAGGAGGGGGAGGACUGUUUUCUAUCACUGCGGAGCAGUCGUUCCAGGCUGGGAGGGGGCGGGCGGAGGGGGGAGGACUGUUUCUAUCACUGCAGGAGUGUCCAGGUUGGAGGGGGAGGGGGGAGGACUGCUUCUAUUCACUGCAGGAGUGUUCCAGGUGGCGGGGCAGGAGGGCGGAGGGGGAGACUGUUUCUAUCACUUCAGGGAGUGUUCUCAGGUUGGAGGUGGGGGGGAGGAGGGGGAGUACUGUUUCUAUCACUGCAGGAGGUGUUCCAGGUGGCGGGAUGAGGGGGACGAGACUGUUUCUCUCCCUGCAGGAGUGUUCCAGGUGGAGGGGGAGGGAGGAGGGGGAGACUGUUUCUAUCACUGCAGGAGUGUUCCAGGCUGGAGGUGGAGAGAGAAAGACUGAGUAAAUAAGAAUUGCUUCCAGUGGAUUAAACACAAAAUUAGGUCAUUUCUAUAAAUGAUAAUCUGUUAUUUACCUACAAUAAUCCUGGAUUCAAGUAAAACUGGCUUUGACUCUAUUUACUAGGGAUGGGCGUGAGUAGUCGAUUCAAGAUUAACAUUCGAUUUCUUAUAUACAAGCUCUCAAAAUGUACUUUAGUUAUUAGCAGGUUCAAAUUAUAAGCACUGAGAAAUCUGAUGUGUUUAUGUGGAGAAGGAAGGUCAAGAGCUGUGAAAAUAUGACAGUAAUUGGAACAUCGGACAAUUUUUGUUGCUGUUGCCUUCAGAACCCCUUUUCACGUUGUCGAGUACUCUAAAUGAUUUUCAUGAGUACUCACACAUUCUUUCAAAUGUAUAUACUUACUAUUUACUACCGAGGUAUGUGAAUGAUGCAGUAUAUUGAAAACAAAACAAAAACACAUUAUUUAUGUACAUGUAAUUAAAUAAUUAUUCAUGUGCAUGUGAUUAAUUGAUUUAUAUAUUUACAAAUGCAUUGAAAAGUUUAUAGUGAUGGCAGACAAAGGCAACAGAUGUAUAUUGCUGCAUUGAGACUGAAAUGUUUCUGACAGAGGGGAUGAACACUUAUUUAUUGUGCUUCGGGUUAUUAGAUGUUUGUAUUCAAAAAAUUACAGGUGACUCCUUCCAUUUCUCAGAAGCUGAAGAUUAUUGUGAUGCAGGGGGAAGAUAUCGACUUGGGCAAAGAGUUCAGCAGGAAACGUCAUCCUGACCAGAGAGGAGUUUGACCUGAGGACAGCUGCUCAGUGUGUGAAGAGACAGGAGAAGUUCAUUAUUUUAUCUUUAUUUUACUAGGCAAGUCAGUUAAGAACAAAUUCUUAUUUUCAAUGACGGCCUAGGAAACAGUGGGUUAACUGCCUGUUCAGGGGCAGAAUGACAGAUUUGUACCUUGUCACCUCGGGGAUUCGAACUUGCAACCUUUCGGUUACUAGUCCAACACUCUAACCACUAGGCUACCCUGCCGCCUCCACACUCUAUAACCACUAGGCUACCCUGCCGCCUCUACGCUCUAACCACUAGGCUACCCUGCCGCCUCUACGCUCUAACCACUAGGCUACCCUGCCGCCUCUACGGCUCUAACCACUAGGCUACCCUGCCGCCUCUACGCUCUAACCACUAGGCUACCCUGCCGCCUCUACGCUCUAACCACUAGGCUACCUGCCGCUCUUACGCUCUAAACCACUAGGCUACCCUGCCGCCUCUACGCUCUAACCACUAGGCUACCCUGCCGCCUCUACGCUCUAACCACUAGGCUACCCUGCCGCCUCUACGCUCUAACCACUAGGCCUACCCUGCCGCCUCUACGCUCUAACCACUAGGUACCCUGCCGCCUCUUACGCUCUAACCACUAGGCUACCCUGCCGCUCUACGCUCUAACCACUAGGCUACCCUGCCGCCCCUACGCUCUAACCACAUAGGCCUACCCUGCCGCCUCUACGCUCUAACCACUAGGCUACCCUGCCGCCUCUACGCUCUAAACAUAGGCUACCCUGCCGCCUCCUACGCUCUCUAACCACUAGGCUACCCUGCCGCCUCUACGCUCUAACCACUAGGCUACCCUGCCAGCCUCUACGCUCUAACCACUAGGCUACCCUGCCGCCUCUACGCUCUAACCAACUAGGCUACCCUGACAGAGACACUCCAGGCUGGUGGAUAAUCUUCCUGUAAUGUUAACUGCUGAGUGGUUCAACAGGAAUGGUGCUCAGUGUGUCUCUGUGUCCAGGACCACACUCUCCUCCUGGUCAUACAAGUGGAUGAAUCAUUCACAAAGAUACUCUUUCUCUAUUGAUGUUCUGUGUAAGAGAGUCUGGAGUCACCUGUGGGGAUUGUCGGGGAAACAAACCACUGAGCAGCACAUUGAGAAUGAAGGGAAUGCCCUCCAGUGACUUGUUGAGAAAUGUGAGACAGGUAUCAUGUCUUCAACAAUAGGAACAGAGGUGAUGGUAUCAGUCACCGAACUGCUGGAGAAGUAGGACUUGGUGGGAGGAAACAGAGGCGGACUAUGAGAUAAGACAUAACAAAGGCAAGAGGCAGGACAGAAGAGGACAUUGUGAGAUAAAGACAUAACAGAGGACAUAGGGGCAGGAAACAGGAGGACUUAUGAGAUAAAGACAUAACAGAGGACAUAGGGGCAGGAAACAGGAGGACAUUAUGAGAUAAAGACAUAACAGAGGACAUAUGGGCAGGAAACAGGAGGACAUUUGAGAUAAAGACAUAACAGAGACAUAGAGCAGGAAACGAGGGGACAUGUGAGAUAAAGACAUAACAGAGGACAUAGGGGCAGGAAAAAGAGGAGGACAUUAUGAGAUAAAGACAUAACAGCAGGAGAUGGGGCAGGAAACAGGAGGACAUUAUGAGAUAAAGACAUACAGAGGACAUAGGGGCAGGAAACAGGAGGACAUUAUGAGAUAAAGACAUAAAGAGGACAUAGGGGCAGGAAACAGAGGAGGACAUUUGAGAUAAAGACAUAACAGGGACAUAGGGGCAGGAAAACAGAGGAGGACAUUAUGAGAUAAAGACAUAACAGAGGACAUAGGGGCAGGAAACAGAGGAGGACAUUAUGAGAUAAAGCAUAACAGAGGACAUAGGGGCAGGAAACAGAGGAGGACAUUAUGAGAUAAAGACAUAACAGGACAUAGGGGCAGGAAACAGGGGGGACAUAUGAGGAUAAAGACAUAACAGGGACAUAGAGGCAGGAAACGAGGAGGACAUUAUGGAUAAAGACAACAGAGGACAUGGGGCAGGAAACAGGGGAGGACAUUAUGAGAUAAAGACAUAACAGAGGACAUAGGGGCAGGAAACAGGGGAGGACAUUAUGAGUUAAGACAUAACAGAGGACAUGAGGCAGGAAAACAGAGGAGGACCAUUAUGAGAUAAAGACAACAGAGACGACAUAGGGCAGGAAACAGCUGUGUUUCAGCAUUAUGAAGAGGGAAUUGGAUUUAUGUUAAAAAUUAAAACUAGAUAUUAACUAGUUUCAACUAGAUAUGAACUACAUUGUUAACUAGGGUUUAACUAGAUUGAACUAGGUUAACUCGAUAUUAGCCAGGCUAACUAGGUUAACUAGAUUGACUGGUUAACUAGAUAUUAUACUGUUUUAACUAGAUAUGAACUCGAUUUUUAACUAGAUAUGAAC
rnacentral:lncRNA from 1 species